rnacentral:rRNA from 1 species
UACGUAGGGUGCAAGCGUUGUCCGGAAUUAUCGGGCGUAAAGAGCUCGUAGGCGGUCUGUCGCGUCUGCUGUGAAAACUCAGGGCUUAACCCUGAGCUUGCAGUGGGUACGGGCAGACUAGAGUGCGGUAGGGGAGACUGGAAUUCCUGGUGUAGCGGUGAAAUGCGUAGAGAUCGGCAGGAACACCCAGGGGGAAACCAGUCGACUGGGCAGCACCUGACGCUGAGGUGCGAGAGCGUGGGGAGCGAACCGG